rnacentral:rRNA from 1 species
UACAGAGGUCCCGAGCGUUGUUCGGAUUCACUGGGCGUAAAGGGUGCGUAGGCGGUCGGAUAAGUUUGAUGUGAAAUCUCCGGGCUUAACCCGGAAACUGCAUUGAAUACUAUUCGGCUUGAGGUCUGGAGGGGGGACUGGAAUUCUCGGUGUAGCGGUGAAAUGCGCAGAUAUCGGGAGGAACACCAGUGGCGAAGGCGGCACUCUGGGCCAGUACUGACACUGAGGAGCGAAAGCGUGGGGAGCGAACAGG